GUAGGUGGCAAGCGUUGUCCGGAAUUAUUGGGCGUAAAGCGCGCGCAGGCGGUUCUAUAAGUCUGAUGUGAAAGCCCACGGCUCAACCGUGGAGGGUCAUUGGAAACUGGAGAACUUGAGUACAGAAGAGGAAAGCGGAAUUCCACGUGUAGCGGUGAAAUGCGUAGAGAUGUGGAGGAACACCAGUGGCGAAGGCGGCCUUCUGGUCUGUAACUGACGCUGAGGCGCGAAAGCGUGGGGAGCAAACAGGAUUAGAUACCCUGGUAGUCCACGCCGUAAACGAUGAGUGCUAAGUGUUAGGGGGGUUUCCGCCCCCCUUAGUGCUGCAGCUAACGCAUUAAGCACUCCGCCUGGGAGUACGGCCGCAAGGCUG
rnacentral:rRNA from 1 species